rnacentral:miRNA from 1 species
GGCUCAGGUGUAUUCUACAGUGCACGUGUCUCCAGUGUGGCUCGGAGGCUGGAGACGCGGCCCUGUUGGAGUAACAACUGAAGCCGG